rnacentral:ncRNA from 1 species
GAUUUGCAAACCGCUGUUCUUUUUUGACUUCUUUUUUCUCCACUAGGCUUGGAGGCUGCGUCGUUUUAAAAGAAAAGUCAAAAACGAACGGAAGGCCUCCCACAAGGGAGGUUUUUUUAUA